UACGGAGGGUGCGAGCGUUGUUCGGAAUCACUGGGCGUAAAGCGCGUGUAGGCGGCUUGCUAAGUCUGAUGUGAAAGCCCGGGGCUCACCCCCGGAAGUGCAUUGGAAACUGGCUGGCUCGAGUCUCGGAGAGGAGAGUGGAAUUCCUGGUGUAGCGGUGAAAUGCGUAGAUAUCAGGAGGAACACCGGUGGCGAAGGCGGCUCUCUGGACGAUGACUGACGCUGAGACGCGAAAGCGUGGGGAGCAAACAGG
rnacentral:rRNA from 2 species